GCAAUCGUGGCCGAGUGGUUAAUGCGAUGGACUAGAAAUCCAUUGGGGUCUCCCCGCACAGGUUCGAAUCCUGUCGACUGCG
rnacentral:tRNA from 1 species